UACAGAGGGUGCAAGCGUUAAUCGGAAUUACUGGGCGUAAAGCGUGCGCAGGCGGCUUUGCAAGACAGAUGUGAAAUCCCCGGGCUCAACCUGGGAACUGCAUUUGUGACUGCAAGGCUAGAGUACGGUAGAGGGGGAUGGAAUUCCGCGUGUAGCAGUGAAAUGCGUAGAUAUACGGAGGAACACCAGCGGCGAAGGCGGGUAGCUGGGCCAACACUGACGCUGAUGUGCGAAAGCUAGGGGAGCAAACGGG
rnacentral:rRNA from 1 species